rnacentral:rRNA from 1 species
CACGUAGGGGGCAAGCGUUGUCCGGAUUUAUUGGGCGUAAAGAGCUCGUAGGCGGUUCGGCAAGUCGGGUGUGAAACCCCCAGGCUCAACCUGGGGACGUCACCCGAUACUGCUGUGACUUGAGUCCGGUAGGGGAGCGUGGAAUUCCUGGUGUAGCGGUGAAAUGCGCAGAUAUCAGGAGGAACACCAGCGGCGAAGGCGGCGCUCUGGGCCGGAACUGACGCUGAGGAGCGAAAGCGUGGGUAGCAAACGGG